UGGUCUGUGGGAGGAGAAGGGCACGUGUCAGCCGGGUCACAAGCCACGGCUCAGACGGCGAUGCUUACAGAGGCCUACUCGGGCCGCAGCCGCAGCAUUCGUCCCCGAGAGCGCGACUGGGUCCCGCCAGGAAGGGAGGGGAGGGCAGCCCAGGGCUCACCUGAGAGCGGCAGGUCAAGGCGUUGAAGAGGUCGAAGAACACAAAGCAGGUGAAGGUCAUGGUCGUGGUACGCGGGGUGCUCGCCUUGUCUGCGGGGAUCUGGAACACAGAGGAGCGCAGGGUGGGCGGGCCCCGGGAAGGGGGGGUGCUUCUCGUGAUGAUGAGCACGGAGGGAGCAGGAACUCGAGGGGCCUGGACGGCCCAGCAGAGAGCGGCUCCGCUAGGAACUGACCACGACCGCCCCCUGGGCUGGAGUAAGAGGGGUGUCUCACGACCACCCCCCCAUCCCCCCCGCCCCCCGAGCUGAAACCCUGCACAGGUAAAGGGAGCAUCCCUUCCUGCAGCAGGUGACAUUGCCUCCUGGGACAGGACAGGGCUAUAGCUGCAUCCACUGAGUGUCACGGACAGAGGACGCACACCCUCCCUGGUGCUGCUGUAGGGACCUGAGGCAGGUCUCCUCCCGGGCCUGGCCUGGAGCCAAGGUGGAGCACAGGCUGGCCACGGGCGGCCACACCACCUUCCCGGGCAGAAGAUAAAGAGGGUCCCGCUGAUGAUGACAGCAGCCGACAGGAGGAUUUUCAGGAUCAGGGCUUUGCUGAGAAUCGUGUCCUUGACGUUCCGCGGUGGCUGUCGGAGGGCGUCUUUGUCAACCGGCUCUACCCCCAGGCUGCUCGGAACAAGACAGGGGAACCUUGACAUAAACCACGAGGACACUUAAAGUGCUGAAGCUGUACAGGCUCUCAGGGUCCCCACCCCCCACCCCGCCGGCCUGGGCCCCAGGGGCAGCCACACACCCGUCCCUGAGCACGGCGGAGGAAAACCACCCCCCAGCCGACCACACCACCGUCCCGGAGCCACUCUGGGUCACCCCUCAUGAUCGCACAGCUUCCAUCACAAGGGGACGCCCAGCAGGCUGGAGAAACGGGGUCCAGACGCCGCCCCCCAGGGACCCGCCUUCAGCCGACUGCGCAACAGCGGGACUGGGGUUAGACCAGCGGAAGACGGGACGCGGGGCACCGAGGAGGAAGCCGGCUGCAGAUACGGCUGCGGCCAGCUUGCCUCCCGGCCCUGCUCCCGGCGUGUGAAGAGGGACCUCCCCCUGGGCCCGGAGGGACAAAGCGGGACUCCUGCCCUCAGCGGCGACAACUUUGAUAAUUCAUGGUAACAUGUAUGUAUCACAUUUAUAUCACACACACAUAUAUAAUCAACAACAGCACGUACUGUGUGCUCGAACCCAGUGCCUCGCUUGUUCCUGGACGUCUGGCUCCCCGACUCCGAACGUGGUUCUUCCUCCUGCCCGUUCAGCUACCCUCACCCUCCCUUCUCACCCAGCCACCCAGCCACUAACUCGCCGACCACCUACUGUGUGCCAAGCACCGUCCCGGGAGCUGGGAAAUGCUACAAGGAACAGAAACCUUGCCACAGGGGAAACGGGUCAUAAUCAGAUAAACAAGGACAUACGUAUUUUCUCCUCUAGGGACAAAUAAAGCAGGGCAAGGAGGGAGAGCCCGGGGGCUGCUGUUAGAGCGAUCACGGAGGACAUCUCCCAAGUGGGGACGUGAAGAGAGGGGCUGAGGCGUGGAGUCACCCAGGGAGCACAUCCCCCCCCUCCGCCGCCCGCCCCGGCUGCCCAUGCAGGUGCUUCCCCCCCCAUGCCCAGGGCAUCCCGCUGGCAGUCUUCCCCACGGUGCGCCACACUCCGGCUUUGCAGGACUCCCGGGGACGGUGUCCCGUACUCGGUGCAAGGGACCCGAGGCGGCAGAGUGGGCGGGCGGCGGAGCCUCGCGGACAGCCCGGCGCCUCACCU